rnacentral:lncRNA from 1 species
UUUUUGGUAACAGUAUGCUGCCUUCCAACAUCCCAGCAUUCAAAAAGAAACCUGUGUAGGUUAUACCCUAGCAUUCAAGAAACACUCAUAAGCUUCAAAUUACAAGAGUGAUGCCAGUGCGGCCUUGACCUUCAGUCUAGAAUAAAGCUUUUGUUUCAACCUACUGCAAGCCACAAGAACAUUUACAUAUUUACUGGUUAAGAUAGUUGGAUGUUUUGGUUGCUCUCAUGCCAUCAUUAAUAUUUUCCCAUCCAGCCAAAGUGAUACAACAAUCGAUAAAUAGCCUCUCAGAGGCCCCGAGACAGCCAAAUGUAUUUACCAGCCAGGGUUUUUGUUAAUUAGAUAAAAUCCUUGGAUCAAUGUGCAGAACAUUUACCUAUAUUGGAGCUAAGUACAUUCUGGACACCUUAAUCCUGGCACAAUGACAGCAAGUGCCUCAAGCCCCAAGCUGGGGCAUCCGGGGACAAAAACCAAACCAAGCCAUCAAUGCAAAGCUAGAAUAAAUGUGUUUGGCCUCCAACAAAACUCAACCCUUUCUUCUUUCCUGUGUUGCAAAUCAAAUCAGACUUUUUUCCAAAGGUAUCUAAUAAACAAGUUUUAGCUGGUAUGAAGUACUUUAAUGUCUAAAACCAUCAAACCAGAAAUCAAAACAAGAUGUCAAAACAAUCUUU